GACAGAGGUGCCGAGCGUUAGGCGGAAUCACUGGGCUUAAAGCGUGUGUAGGCGGCUCGUUAAGUGCCUUGUGAAAUCCCACGGCUCAACCGUGGAACUGCUCGGCAUACUGGCGAUCUUGAGCCGCUUAGGGGCUACCGGAACAAAUGGUGGAGCGGUGAAAUGCGUAGAUAUCAGGAGGAACACCGGUGGCGAAGGCGGAUCUCUGGGCCAUUACUGACGCUGAGGAGCGAAAGCGUGGGGAGCGAACAGG
rnacentral:rRNA from 1 species